UGAUAAAGUGUGCUCAGCCAGACGACCUCCCCUAAAGCUAGGUUUAAUCUGGGUCAGGUUCCUGGGUCAGGUUCCUUGACUAGUCAGUAGAUGAUAAAGUGUGCUCAGCCAGACGACCUCCCCUAAAGCUAGGUUUAAUCUGGGUCAGGUUCCUGGGUCAGGUUCCUUGACUAGUCAGUAGAUGAUAAAGUGUGCUCAGCCAGACGACCUCCCCUAAAGCUAGGUUUAAUCUGGGUCAGGUUCCUGGGUCAGGUUCCUUGACUAGUCAGUAGAUGAUAAAGUGUGCUCAGCCAGACGACCUCCCCUAAAGCUAGGUUUAAUCUGGGUCAGGUUCCUGGGUCAGGUUCCUUGACUAGUCAGUAGAUGAUAAAGUGUGCUCAGCCAGACGACCUCCCCUAAAGCUAGGUUUAAUCUGGGUCAGGUUCCUGGGUCAGGUUCCUUGACUAGUCAGUAGAUGAUAAAGUGUGCUCAGCCAGACGACCUCCCCUAAAGCUAGGUUUAAUCUGGGUCAGGUUCCUGGGUCAGGUUCCUUGACUAGUCAGUAGAUGAUAAAGUGUGCUCAGCCAGACGACCUCCCCUAAAGCUAGGUUUAAUCUGGGUCAGGUUCCUGGGUCAGGUUCCUUGACUAGUUAGUAGAUGAUAAAGUGUGCUCAGCCAGACGACCUCCCCUAAAGCUAGGUUUAAUCUGGGUCAGGUUCCUGGGUCAGGUUCCUUGACUAGUCAGUAGAUGAUAAAGUGUGCUCAGCCAGACGACCUCCCCUAAAGCUAGGUUUAAUCUGGGUCAGGUUCCUGGGUCAGGUUCCUUGACUAGUCAGUAGAUGAUAAAGUGUGCUCAGCCAGACGACCUCCCCUAAAGCUAGGUUUAAUCUGGGUCAGGUUCCUGGGUCAGGUUCCUUGACUAGUCAGUAGAUGAUAAGGUGUGCUCAGCCAGACGACCUCCCCUAAAGCUCACCCCUUCAGUUGUUUUACGAGGCAUUUGGUGUAAAACAAGGUGUGACUACUCCCUAUCAGAUAUAAAGUAAUAAUAUUUUUGGGUUUCCAUUUUGCCUGUUGGUCUGUGUUUGUGUACAGUACGUGUGUGUUUGGUGUUCCUGUGUUUAAGGGUUUUUGUUUCUCUCUGUUUUUUUUUUUUUUUUGAGAAGAAAAAAAAAGGAAAAAAAAAAAAAGAGUUUGUUUCUGUACAUAUUGUUGUUGACAAAUGAUGAGCUAUUUGUUUGCUGUACUCUGCAAUACGUUUCAACCUUUCAGAUGACUAUAAUGGUUAGAACUGCCCUUCUUGAACAAGGGCUCUUGAUGUCUGCUGUUAUGUGCUGUUGGAGGUGACAGUCGGGAGGGGAGGUCGGAGGAGCGAGAGACAGAGAUACCCCAACACACUUCCCAGACCAGAACAAUCUCUUCAAUACUAUGUCACUACGGCAACAAAACAAAACAAAACAGAAAUCUUCACAGUUACAAACAUGAACAAAUAUCGGAUGCUUUUACGCUCAUAUAAAGCACCGUAUUAUUUUGGAGAUUGUCAUCUGACACGACAGACUAGUCCCACAGUAAUAUCACCACCCAAAACAACAACAGCCUCUACAGUCACUGAAACAUUUUGUUUAACCUUUAUUUAACUAGGCCAGUUAAAAACACAUGAUUAUUUACAAUGACGGCCUACCAGGGAACAGUGGGUUAACUGCCUUGUUCAGGGGAACAGUGGGGUUAACUGCCUUGUUCAGGGGAACAGUGGGGUUAACUGCCUUGUUCAGGGGAACAGUGGGUUAACUGCCUUGUUCAGGGGAACAGUGGGUUAACUGCCUUGUUCAGGGGCAGAACUACAGAUUUUUACUUUGUCACCCCGGAUGACACUGGACCAAUGGUGUGCCGCCCUAACCCAAUCACAGCCGGAUGUGAUACAGCCUGGAUUCAAACCAGGGACCGUAGUGACGCCUCUUGCUCUGAGAUGCAGUGCCUUAGACCGCUGCGCCACUCGGGAGCCCAAAUGCUUCUCAACCUCAGCCUAUAAUUAAACUUAGUGUGGUGUGUUAGAUUAGAUAUAGAUGGGACAAAAGCAUCUCAGAUCAAUAAUUAUUAAUUAAUUUAAUUAAUCAUAGCAAUUUGACUAGAAAGCUCAUGGUUGCCAGUCCACCCAUCACCUACACUUGAGUGUGGAAAACCUUUUCUAAGAAUUGUAUUUCUAUUGGGCUCCUCCUCGUCGCUCCGCCGUGGUCACUUGGAAUUCUUUGGUAGACGGCUGUUCCCCCCGCAUCGCUUCCCUCCCUCUGCCGUAGUGCAUUCAGAGAGGGCUAUAUGUUCCUCAAUGCCGGUCCCCUCCCUCUGCAGUGGUAGCUUGGCAUUCCCUCUCACCCCUAUCAGCUCCUACAGAAAGGAGCCUGGCUAACUGGCUGUAUGGGGGGUUUACUGUAAAACCGUGGUGUUAUAGAGUAUUAACUGUAGAAUAUGAUGUCACGCUGUCUGUUUAAAUCAACGCUCAACCCUAUUAUUCAUAGGUUGCACCUCCGUCACUCGGUCGCGUCGUGCGGUUGGUAUGAACGUUCUCAAGCCGCCCUCUACCGGCGGCGCAAUAGUGGUGCCCGGAAAAUGUUAUUAACCCCAGUCAUUCUGGACGGAGGCUGACGAAUUGUUUAGUCUAAAUUACACUAUAGUGCCUGGAAAUACGAUGACAUUGCUAAAGUACUCAAAUGUUUUGUAAGAAAACAAGCGUUGCCAGUAUUAUAAUGUUGUCAAUUUUACUUUUAAACAGAUGGGAAUGUUGCCAUUAUAUAUAAAAUAAAAAUAGCUUUGACUCCUGAAUGGCAUUGUAUUUCCAAGACACUGUAAUGCACAUUUGUUUAAAUCUUCAUCGGCGAUAAAUGCCAAUGCGUUAAGUAAAAUGCUCAGUUGGGUAUCAGUCCAAAACGACCUACCAAACAAUAGCGACAAAACAUUAACUUUAGACGUGUUAAGGCAUCAGCAUGUUUCAGUUCAGGUGGCGACAAAACCGACCGAUGUGCUUCUAUAAUUCCCGUAUAAUACCUUCGCUUGAAAAAACGAGAAAAGUAAGUGCCAUUAGUACGGUUUGUCCCUUUUGAGAAGCCGUAGCCAGUACACACUUCCUCAAAGUAGUGAGACCCGAAUAAAAAAAAAUGUAAGAAAUCUUUCAUUCAUUUUGACGUUUUUUUGCAGAGGUCUUAGUUGCGUCAUUUUACAUCUAACUAAGAUAUUUGGUGAAGUAUUUCUCAAUGAAAACAUGUGGAUGAAAACGCUUCGUCUCGUCUCGAACGACAACAAAGACUUUAUUGAAGAAUCCCAACAGUCGACCAAUCACGUAGGAAGGGUCGAGUACUUUGGGUGUGUGUCCGAACAGCCCAAAACCUCCUUUCCAACCAAUGUCCAAAACUAACAAAACCGUCACAAAAUGUCAUCAUUAUAUAUGCACGAACUCUUCCCCAAUUGUUUCGGCUGGGAAGUAUACAGACGCCUUUAGUUCCAGGCACGUUUAUAAGAAACAGAAGGAAAAAAAUGAUUUUACCCCUGAACAAUGUUGAAACAUAUAUUGGGGGACUAGGGUUGCAAAAUUCUGGUAACUUUAGAUUCUAGAUCCUGGUUGGGUGGAUUCUAGAUUUCCUCAUGAUUCCUUCCUGAUUCUGGAAAUCUUCCAAAAGGACAUUUACACCAAUAACAGAAUAACAACCCCAGAGCUUUUGUUAUUGUUAGACCGAUGUGAUGACCUUCUGAGUGCCUGUUUCCCGGCACCAGACUGGAGGUGCCAAACACCAGGUCCAACCAAAUCCCAGUGACCUCCCAGUGUCCCCUAGCUUCCCAGUCCUAUUUUGAGACAAACCUGGGCUCUAAAAAAAAAUGACGUGCUGUUUUGGUGCGGUACGCUCAGAGAAGUACACUCUGUUUCAGAGCCAGCCAUCAGACCUGCAGGUGUCUGCAAAAAAACACUCCCCUCCCUAGUUCUCCAUAUGCUCUGUUCCUGAGUAGCUGGCAGCUCUGUGUGUGUGUCUAUGUGUCUGUGUGUGUGUUCAGGAGAGAGCUUAUCAUUGUCAGACGGCUUUCAGUGUUGACUAGGACACAGACAUGAUCCUCACAGCUGAUACACUGGCAAGGACACACACACACACAAAUAUACACACACACGCUGGCCAUUUACAAUCUGUCUAGCAAGGUCAACAAAAUAAAUAUACCACUGAUCUUAACCGGCUGAAAAAUUCAAAUGUAGAGCCCCCUUAUACCUACAUGCACACCUCUGUGGAUAAAUAGUUUAUUAUCAUUCUCUGCCUUCAUGUUGUGAAGUUCCUUUACAUUUAGACCUCAAGGUCAAAUUUCUUCCUGUGUGUGAACGGUACACUAGCCCUCUCCCUCUUCUCUCCAUCUCUCCCAGACCCCACCUCAUCAACAGACUGCUCUAACUUUCAACACACAAAUUGUGAUGUGUACAAUCUGAUUUAAUGUACUUAUGUCUUUUUUUGUUUAGUUUUUUUUGUGCCAACUUUGUAUAGUGUAUAAACAUCUCUAAAUAUAUGAAAAACGACACUAUAGAUGUUAGCUUCCUGGAACAUGCAGGGUAAUAGGGUAUACUUGGUCGACUUCAAGACAAAACGUAGAGCCGCUAUAAAGCUAGUUAUCGAGAACAUCCUGCUUUGUGUAGAAAUCUGGUGUGUCACCACGGUCCCUUUUUAUAUUCUAGGUUUCGUUUUUUUGUGUUGAUGUUUUUUUAAAUACACCCGGUGGCAUCCAA